rnacentral:misc_RNA from 1 species
CUAAGUGCCAUAAACCCUAAUUUCCAAUUUAUCAAAAUUCAUCAAAUCAAAGUGUGCCAAUCACAUCUACACGCUCAAUUAGGCUUGCAUACACAUUUACUUGAACUAAAACAUAUCAACACUUCACAACCUCAUGGAUGGAAUAACAUGAAAAAUUGAGAAAAUUAUGUAUAAGAACAAAGGUGUAAAUUUCAGCCAGCCAUGAGG